rnacentral:tRNA from 2 species
GACGAGGCGGCCCAGUGGAUAAGGUGAUGGACCGCUAAUCCAUCGUGCUCUGCAUGUGUGGGUUCGAAUCCCACCCUCAUCA